CAGUUCCAGCUGAAGCAGUCAGGACCUGCCCUUGUGCCGCCUUCACGGAGCCUGUCCAUCACAUGCACUGUCUCUGGGUUCUCAUUAACCAGCUGUGGUAUAAGCUGGCUUCGAUGGUCUCCAGGAAACGGAGAUAGUGGAAUUUUACAACUGUCCCAUAGGCCUAGAAAACCCAGUCAUCACCCCUGUUCCUCUUCUGCAUCCUUACCAAUACGUGAUCCCCAAUCCUUACCCACUAUUCAUCAAGUAUAUUAUAUUUUGCUACUGUUCCCCAUUUAUACAGGACUCGCCAGA